ACCUAAACCCUAUGUUCUUCAACUAAUCCUCCCUUUCUCUUAUAAUUCCUCUUGGAGCCAUCUUGGAGCAUGGAUCUUCAUAUCUUCCCUCUCCUUUCAUUGUAGAAUCAAGGUUGCUGCAAAUCUAAAUGGAAUCCAGUUUUCAAGCUGAAGAAAAUGCUCUUGAGAUUUGAAGUUGGCCAUAUAUUUCCAGACUGUGCAAAGUUAUUGGAAUUGCUACAGAAUGAUGUGGAACCAUGUAAUUGACUUAUCAACCUAGAAUCUCAUAACAUUCAAAAACUUUUGAUGACCGUUUCAAAUGCGGUUGUAGAGAUUAUCCCAAGAGGUUGGAACAUUUUAGUGGAUUGUAUAGUUGUCCUAGGUCAUCACUCUCCUAAACUUCCCCUUUUUCAUCAAGUUUGGGAUCUCCCCAAUUGGUUGAUGAAGUGUUGCAACUCGUCAAGAUUCUAUUUUGAUUAAUUUCUGCUCUCUAGUUCCUAAUAUACUAUGUAGCUCUCUUAACAGAA